AAGGCCCGGGACGUAGGCUGGAGUGUCUUGGAUGUGGCCUUCACUCCUGACGGAAACCACUUUCUGUACUCCAGCUGGUCUGAUUACAUUCAUAUCUGCAAUAUCUAUGGGGAAGGAGACACACACACUGCCCUGGACCUAAGGCCAGAAGAACGUCGUUUUGCUGUCUUCUCCAUUGCUGUCUCCUCAGAUGGACGAGAAGUACUAGGAGGUGCCAAUGAUGGCUGCCUGUAUGUCUUUGACCGAGAACAAAACCGGCGCACUCUUCAGAUUGAGUCUCAUGAAGACGACGUGAAUGCAGUGGCGUUUGCUGACAUAAGCUCCCAAAUCCUGUUUUCUGGGGGAGAUGAUGCCAUC